AACUAACUAGGCUGACCCACUACUAGCUUGCAUGCACCCACAUGAUCUCAUCUUAUAUGAGUACACAUGCGACAGCUUAGUAAAUGGACAAGGCUACAUGGAUGACCCAACGCAAAACAAAUCAAACAUGAUGUAAUGACCUAUACAACGAGGUUAACUCUAACAAUCACCUUCUUAACCUUGUUGUCCCUUAUUCCACUU
rnacentral:lncRNA from 1 species